GAAAUGCGAUAAGUAAUGUGAAUUGCAGAAUUCAGUGAAUCAUCGAAUCUUUGAACGCACAUUGCGCCCGCCAGUAUUCUGGCGGGCAUGCCUGUUCGAGCGUCAUUACAACCCUCAGGCCCCCGGGCCUGGCGUUGGGGAUCGGCGGAAGCCCCCUGCGGGCACAACGCCGUCCCCCAAAUACAGUGGCGGCCCCGCCGCAGCUUCCAUUGCGUAGUAGCUAACACCUCGCAACUGGAGAGCGGCGCGGCCACGCCGUAAAACACCCAACUUCUGAAUGUUGACCUCGAAUCAGGUAGGAAUACCCGCUGAACUUAAGC
rnacentral:misc_RNA from 1 species